rnacentral:ribozyme from 1 species
AAAGGAAAAAAAAAAAAAAAAAAAGAGAAAAAGAGAACGUAAG